rnacentral:rRNA from 1 species
AUUGAACGCUGGCGGCAGGCCUAACACAUGCACGUCGGGCGGAGCGGCGGACGGGUGAGUAAUGUAUGGGGAUCUGCCUGAUGGAGGGGGCUAACUACUGGAAACGGUAGCUAAUACCGCAUAACAUCAGAGGACACCAUAGGGGAUUAGCUAGUUGGUGGGGUAAAGGCCUACCAAGGCGACGAUCCGUAACUGGGCUGAGAGGAUGAUCAGUCAAACUGGAACUGAGACACGGUCCAGACUCCUACGGGAGGAAGCAGUGGGGAAUAUUGGACAAUGGGCGAAAGCCUGAUCCAGCCAUGCCGCGUGUGUGAAGAAGGUCUUCGGAUUGUAAAGCACUUUAAGUUGGGAGGCGUUACCAACAGAAUAAGCACCGGCUAACUUCGUGCCAGCAGCCGCGGUAAUAC